rnacentral:rRNA from 1 species
CUACCGGAGUACUAUGAAUAAUAUAUAAUUUAAAACUCAAAGAACUUGGCGGUGUUUUAGACCACUUAGGGGAACCUGUCUCGUAAUCGACAGUCCACGUUGCACCUGACCUUUUUUUGUUUUCAGUUUGUAUACCGUUGUCGUCAGGUAACUUUUUAGAAAGUAGAAGUUGGCUAUAGAAAUUUAGUGAUUUAGUACGUCAAAUCAAGGUGCAGCUAAUGAAAGGGGGAGGAUGGGUUACAGUUAUACAGUUAUAAUAACGGAUGUCUACAUGAAAGUGUGGGUUGUGAAGGAGGACUUAGAAGUAAAUUGAAUUAGGAAAACAGUUUGAAUGGGGCUCUGAAACGUGU